UACAGAGGGGGGCAAGCGUUGUUCGGAAUUACUGGGCGUAAAGCGUGCGCAGGCGGCGGCUCAAGUCAGGUGUGAAAUCCCCGGGCUUAACCUGGGAAUUGCGCUUGAAACUAGGUCGCUAGAGUGUGGCAGAGGGGGGUGGAAUUCCGACGUGUAGCAGUGAAAUGACGUAGAGAUGUGGAGGAACACCGAUGGCGAAGGCAGCCCCCUGGGUCAACACCUGGA
rnacentral:rRNA from 1 species